rnacentral:rRNA from 1 species
UACGGGGGGGGGCAAGUGUUCUUCGGAAUGACUGGGCGUAAAGGGCACGUAGGCGGUGAAUCGGGUUGAAAGUGAAAGUCGCCAAAAAGUGGCGGAAUGCUCUCGAAACCAAUUCACUUGAGUGAGACAGAGGAGAGUGGAAUUUCGUGUGUAGGGGUGAAGUCAUCAAUAAUACGAAGGAACGGCAAAAGCGACGAAGCAGCUACGUC